AGCUGCUCUUCACUUGUGAUUGAGUAGAGAAGAGUUGAGUCAUUACAUACGGAAACAAAGCGAUGCAUAAACACAUCCUAAUAAUAGACAGGCAUUUGCCGUUUCAUUAAACUUCCUUUUUUUUGCUUGCUGGAAGCUAAAAUACAGACAACGACCAGGCACUACUUAUUUGAUAAGGUUUUCAAAGCUCACAAGGGAUCAACAGUAAAUAAUAUGGAUGCUACCACCUGCUGGUUACAGUUGGCUCCAUUGUUCCUAUACCACUUCCUGGUACCUACCUCAUGUCAUUGGAUGCCACGGCAGUUUCCAUGUGACGUUACGGUCAAUACUACCAAUACCACGGAUGACAUCAUCUUUAAUUGUGAGGAGCGUCGACUGAAAAAUGUACCUGUUGGCAUCACCAGGAAUGUGACCGUGCUGGACCUAUCAGAAAACAACAUCAGAAAUGUAUCUCUUGAUGCAUUUUCUAAUCUGGAGAACCUGACCCUUCUCAAUCUCAACUGUGUCAACAAAAAUGGUGACACACACAUCGCUGAAGGUGCCUUCAAGAAUCUGACAAACCUGCAGGACCUAAGGCUUAAUGGCAAUGGCCUCAUCAACAUUCCUCAAAUUCUCCCACUCAUUCUGGACAAACUCAUGCUGGACAAUAACAAGAUCAAUUUCUCGAAUAUGAUCAACCUUGUCGGUAUACAACAUGUGAAGGAGCUGUACUUAUCCAAAAAUUGCUAUUACUGGAAUCCCUGUGAGACUGACUUUACUAUUGGAUAUGGCACCUUCUCAGUAUUGACUAAGUUGAAGGUUUUGAUGUUGGCCUAUAAUAAUUUAACUCGUGUUCCAAAAGGACUGCCAAGCUCUAUACAAGAAUUACACCUCGAUUCGAACAAGAUACAGCAAAUUGCUGAGGAUGAUUUCCUUGGACUAACCCAUCUAACAAUCCUGGAAUUACAGGGAAACUGUCCACGAUGCUCCAAUGCUCCAUAUCCUUGUGUUCCCUGUCCUAAUGAUUCUCUGGAUAUUCAUCCUCAUGCAUUUCAUGGUCUUACACAGUUACAGACACUGCACCUAGCAGGCAACUCACUUCGUUUCAUCAAUAACUCCUGGUUUGAGAGCUUGAACAAUCUCACACAUCUGUUCCUGUCUUAUAAUUACUUAACAAAUACUAUCACCAGUGGAACCUUUUUUAGCUAUCUACCAAAGCUAGAAAAGAUUGAUUUGUCAUUUAAUUAUGAUUUGCUUGCCUACCCUGAAACCCUUGAGCUUUCAAAAAACUUUUCACAAUUGGUGUCUCUUACAACCUUACAUAUAAUGGGUUUUGUUUUCAGGGAAAUUCAUUUAGAAACACUCAGACCGCUUUAUGAACUCAAGCGUCUUUCAGUGUUGAACAUCGGAACUAACUUUAUUGUUCGAUCUGAUUCCCACAUAUUCAACAAAUUCUCAAACUCAAGUCUCAAAGUCAUAUAUCUUGCGGAGAACAGGCUUUAUCCAAUUUCAGUGAAUGAGUCCCCAGGUUGUGGCACAGGCGGCAACUUAAAGUCGGUGUUGUACACGUCGCCACUGACUGGAUAUUAUUCCAAUUCAAGGGACUUUUCUUACGGAAUAAAUCACAACCUUGUGAAGCCAGAAUGCUUUAUCUCUGGUCGAGUGCUGGUCCUUAGUUCAAAUAAUCUCUUUUUCAUUUCUCCAAAGCAAUUUGAGGGCUAUGGUGACAUUGCAUGUCUAAACUUAUCAAGAAAUGGAUUUUCAGCAGCAUUGAACGGGACAGAGUUCACCUCAUUACCAAACCUAAAAUAUCUCGACCUGUCCUUUAACAAGAUUGACCUGGCCUAUGACAACGCCUUCAAGGAAUUAAAGAAACUCAAAAUACUAGACCUAAGUUACAACAGCCACUAUUUUGAAGUGUCUGGUGUGACACAUAAUUUAAAUUUUUUGAAAAAUCUACCGACUUUGAAAGUAUUGAAUAUGUCACACAAUAACAUUUUUACAUUAACCACUAAGCAGAUGACAAGCACAUCUAUAAAAGAGCUUCAAUUUCAACACAAUUUGUUGGCUACAUUAUGGAAAGAGGGGGAUGACUCAUACAACAGCCUUUUUAAAAAGCUGACGAAUUUGACCUAUCUGGAUAUUUCAUUUAACAGCAUUGAGAAGAUCCCAUCAAAAGUCUAUGAAAACAUACCAUAUACCCUUCAAAAACUAUGUAUUAGUCAUAAUUCACUCUGCCAUUUUGAUUGGGAUAAACUGGCAGGUUUUCAACAACUGAAUUUCCUGGAUCUAAGCUACAAUUCUUUAUUUCAUGUGUCAGCAAAUCUCUCAAACUUCACAGACACACUUCAGAUUCUUGACUUAAGCCACAAUCAGAUUUUUCAACUCUCUCGUGGAUUUCUUAGGGGUGCUCAAAGCCUUCAGAUACUUGACCUCAGCUACAACCAACUUACUAUCAUCAACAAGACCACCUUCCUAUCGGGCCCUGAAAACUACAUGAAAACCUUGUCCUUGCAAGGUAAUCCAUUCCAGUGUACCUGUGAUUUACUAGAGUUCAUCCUGUGGAUAAAAGAUAACAAAAACGUGGAGAUCCCCAGACUGGCCAGUGAGGUGACCUGCAACAUGCCAGCCAAAAUGAGAGGCCAACCAAUGAUACUGUUUAACAUUAAAGAAUGCAACGAGGACAACAUAGCCUUCCUGAUUUACUCCCUCUCCACUUCCUUGAUCAUGUUCACUGUGGUCAUCACUAUGGCAGGGCAUGUGUUUUAUUGGGAUGCCUCCUAUAUUCUAUACUAUCUGAGGGCAAAGCUGAAGGGCUACCAUUCGUUGAAGUCAACAACAACAGACAAUCUCUAUGAUGCCUUUGUUACCUACGACACCAGAGACCCGUUGGUGUCAGACUGGGUACUGAACCAACUGCGGGUGCAGCUGGAAGAGAGGGGGGAGAGACACCUGCCUCUCUGUCUGGAGGAACGAGACUGGGCCCCCGGGGUCCCCCUAAUAGACAACCUCUUCCAGAGCAUUCGACAGAGCCGCAAGACUGUCUUUGUGCUGACCGAGGCUUACAUCAGGACUGGGAACUUCAGGAUGGCUGUGUACCUGGCCCACCAGAGGUUGCUGGAUGAGAACAUAGAUGUGAUUGUGUUGGUUCUCCUGGAACCCGUGCUGCAGCACUCUCACUUCCUCCUUCUGCGGCGGCGUCUGUGUGGAAGGAGUGUUCUAGAGUGGCCCCAGUCUGCAGCCGCUGAGACCUGGUUCUGGAAGCACCUAAGGAACGCUGUCAGGUUAGACAACCAGGUGAUGUACAACAAGAUCUACUCCAGGUACUUCACCAGCAAGUAGAGCACAGUCCAGACCAGAGACUCAAGAGGAAAAUAUAUUUCUCACACAAAUAGACUGAGCAGUUACACACACAAACUGUGAUACCUUUUACAAGCUCUGACUCUGACUAUAUCAGUUUUUCUAUCUCUUGCACUGAAUAAUAUGGAUGAUACUGUACAUCUGAAAUCGACAAUAUGUAUAUCAAUGUGCUAUUCAUUGUUCUAACACUAUGGCCACCAGUAACUGUGCAUUAUAGUUGUGGUUCAGUUUUUCAGUUUUAUGCUGUCUAUGGGUAGUAGAUAGUUCUAUUCCUAUUUGUUUUUGUCAAUACAUUCAAACUGCAUGCCAUUUGUAAGUAGAUAUCUGAUUUUAAAAUGACUUGGUGCAGUCUGUCUAUGGGCAUCCGUCUUUAUAUGAUAACAGGAAGUGAACUAGUCUUAAGUUCCUGUUUCUUUAGGCUCAGAUGAGGAUGUGAAUCUGAAGCCAUGGUGCUAGCCUGUCAGUGGCACUUCUUUCUUUAUUUCUUUAUACUUAGAAAACUAUAGGCUACAGUGAUUCAACUGAACCGGUAUUGUUGCAACACACUAUUUUAUUAUAUUAAUCAAAACAUUGUUUAGGGAAUCUCUUGUAAAUGUGGACUAUCCAUUGGACUACAGAGUCACAGCAUCAAGGUCCCUUAUGAUAAUUGAAAAUGCAUUAUCUAAAUGUAAUCAAUGACAUAGGGAUGUGUAAAAUAUUACAGUUGCAUAGCCUCCAGACAGGUAGGCUUAUGUUUCUAACGCAAACCAAUAAACGCCAGUGUUACCACCUGAUGUAAUACUAUGUAAAUCCACAGGAUGUCAUCAUUGAGACAAUCAGUAAGAGUUACUUAUGCGGUGACAGCGGACUGUUUUGUGUCGGCAGCGCAAUGCUCUAAUAUCAAAUCAGAUAAAAUGCAAGGUCCAAUACGUUAAACAAAUAAAACCAUAACUAUUGUGUAUGCUCUCUCGCUUGUAAAUAUUGAUGUAAUACGUAUAUAUUCCAAUCCUAGAUAAGCUCAAGAGUGAAGGAACGUGACGUCAUGUUUACAUUUGCAUAUUGCGGACUAUAAUAGACCUUGCUUGAUUUACACGCCUUCACUCGUUCUCUACGCAAUCAGGAUUGAGACACAUCUGUAGCCAGUACAACUCCGAUCCUCUGCAAGCAUGUCUGACAAGCCAGAUCUCGCUGAAGUCUCUAACUUCGACAAGACCAAGUUGAAGAAGACCGAGACACAAGAGAAAAACCCAUUGCCCACCAAAGAAACCAUCGAACAGGAGAAGCAAGCAACAGCAUGAAGCCCAAGCCUCUGCUAUGCACACUGUACAUUCCACAAGCAUUGCCUUUUUCACCUAGUAGCUGUGUAACCCAAAACCUAAGUUGCAUUGUGAUUGGACAAAAGCAAUGACUGUACAGCCCCUCCCUAGAAUGUUAUUUUUUUUUUUUUUUUUUUUUUUUACAUCAAGUCUGAAAACAACUACUGACUGGCACUCUUUGACUAGGAGGAUGUGUUGCGUGUCUCUAAUCACUUCCAGCACCGUCACCUGUCCCUGCUGUGUCCCCUACUUCCAGCCACUUGUGGUUGUGAAGGGAAGUGCAAGGGUGUGAUGGAUCUGCCCAACCCGGGGACCCACUUCUGACGUGUAAUUCAGCUUCUGGCAACAUGAAAUGCUUUCAAAUAAAGCAGUGUUUUGUUUUUCUUGUUCAAAUUCUUUUGUAUAAAUUCAAUUAUUGGAAUGCAGAAGUUUGUUUUGAUAUGCAAAUAAAGUUAUAACUCUUUCUUUGGGUGACAGUAGGUUAUUUUCAUACAUUUUGAAUAUGCUUAAACUAGUUUCAGUAAUCACAUUGCCUCCUGUAAAUGUAUUUUGUGCAUCUGACGUAAAGUACAACUCUGCACAUUAGGCAAGGGUGUAUAUACCAAAUAAAUUGGCCAUAUUUUGGUG